rnacentral:rRNA from 1 species
CAAUAGCGUAUAUUAAAGUUGUUGCGGUUAAAAAGCUCGUAGUUGGAUUUCUGCCGAGGACGACCGGUCCGCCCUCUGGGUGAGUAUCUGGCUCGGCCUGGGCAUCUUCUUGGAGAACGUAGCUGCACUUGACUGUGUGGUGCGGUAUCCAGGACUUUUACUUUGAGGAAAUUAGAGUGUUUCAAGCAGGCUUACGCCUUGAAUACAUUAGCAUGGAAUAAUAAGAUAGGACCUCGGUUCUAUUUUGUCGGUUUCUAGAGCUGAGGUAAUGAUUAAUAGGGAUAGUUGGGGGCAUUCGUAUUUAACUGUCAGAGGUGAAAUUCUUGGAUUUUUGGAAGACGAACUACUGCGAAAGCAUUUACCAAGGAUGUUUUCAUUAA